ACUGCUCAGUAACACGUGGACAACCUGCCCUUAGGUUGGGUAUAAACCCGGGAAACUGGGUAUAAUACCCGAUAGGUCUCGAUUGCUGGAAUGCAUCGAGAUUUAAAGCUCCGGCGCCUAAGGAUGGGUCUGCGGCCUAUCAGGUAGUAGUGGGUGUAGCGUACCUACUAGCCUACGACGGGUACGGGCUGUGAGAGCAAGAGCCCGGAGAUGGAUUCUGAGACACGAAUCCAGGCCCUACGGGGUGCAGCAGGCGCGAAAACUUUACAAUGCUGGCAACAGCGAUAAGGGAACCUCGAGUGCCAGGUUACAAAUCUGGCUGUCGAGAUGCCUAAAAAGCAUUUCAUAGCAAGGGCCGGGCAAGACCGGUGCCAGCCGCCGCGGUAACGCCGGCGGCUCGAGUGGUAACCGUUAUUAUUGGGUCUAAAGGGUCUGUAGCCGGCCGGAUAAGUCUCUUGAGAAAUCUGGCAGCUUAACUGUCAGGCUUUCAGGAGAUACUGUCUGGCUCGAGGCCGGGAGAGGUGAGAGGUACUUCAGGGGUAGGGGUGAAAUCUUGUAAUCCUUGAAGGACCACCAGUGGCGAAGGCGUCUCACCAGAACGGACCUGACGGCAAGGGACGAAAGCUAGGGGCACGAACCGGAUUAGAUACCCGGGUAGUCCUAGCCGUAAACGAUACUCGCUAGGUGUCGGCCACGGUGCGACCGUUGUCGGUGCCGUAGGGAAGCCGUGAAGCGAGCCACCUGGGAAGUACGGCCGCAAGGCUGAAACUUAAAGGAAUUGGCGGGGGAGCAC
rnacentral:rRNA from 1 species